CCACCUGCUCCAGGAGAGCGGCUGCUCUCUCCUGGCCGAAGAUGCUGCCCAGCAAGUCCGUCUUCAGCCGCAGCAUCGCCAGUUGCUCUUUCAGGCGGGAGCUUUCCGCUAGCGCCGCCUGUGGGAGACAAGCCUCACCCAUCUCAUUAGCAAAGGCCAAGUAACAAUUCACCCCCCUCUUUCCGGGAAACGCUGUCCCCUCCAUCAUCACCGCCGCCAGCUAUGGCGCACGCUCAGCCUCUCUCACCUGGACCAUGGCGCCUGUCUGCCUGUUGCUUCUAAGCAGGUACCCCAGCGCUGACCCCCCCACACCUCACCAGCGUGAGUCUCCAUGCCUCUACGCCAGCGGUUCUCAACCCUCCUAAUGCUGUGACCCUUUAAUACAGUUCCUCUCGUUGUGGUGACCCCCAAUCAUAAAAUUAUUUUCAUUGCUACUUCA